GACGAACGCUGGCGGCGUGCUUAACACAUGCAAGUCGAACGGAAAGGCCCUGCUUUUGUGGGGUGCUCGAGUGGCGAACGGGUGAGUAACACGUGAGUAACCUGCCCUUGACUUUGGGAUAACUUCAGGAAACUGGGGCUAAUACCGGAUAGGAGCUCCUGCUGCAUGGUGGGGGUUGGAAAGUUUCGGCGGUUGGGGAUGGACUCGCGGCUUAUCAGCUUGUUGGUGGGGUAGUGGCUUACCAAGGCUUUGACGGGUAGCCGGCCUGAGAGGGUGACCGGCCCCAUUGGGACUGGGAUACGGCCCAGACUCCUACGGGAGGCAGCAGUGGGGAAUAUUGCACAAGGGGCGGAAGCCUGAUGCAGCAACGCCGCGGGCGGGAUGACGGCCUUCGGGUUGUAAACCGCUUUCGCCUGUGACGAAGCGUGAGUGACGGUAAUGGGUAAAGAAGCACCGGCUAACUACGU
rnacentral:rRNA from 1 species